rnacentral:rRNA from 1 species
GAACGGGUGAGUAAUAUAUCGGAACGUACCCUGGAGUGGGGGAUAACGUAGCGAAAGUUACGCUAAUACCGCAUACGAUCUAAGGAUGAAAGCAGGGGACCGCAAGGCCUUGUGCUCCUGGAGCGGCCGAUAUCUGAUUAGCUAGUUGGUGGGGUAAAGGCCCACCAAGGCAUCGAUCAGUAGCUGGUCUGAGAGGACGACCAGCCACACUGGAACUGAGACACGGUCCAGACUCCUACGGGAGGCAGCAGUGGGGAAUUUUGGACAAUGGGCGCAAGCCUGAUCCAGCAAUGCCGCGUGAGUGAAGAAGGCCUUCGGGUUGUAAAGCUCUUUUGUCAGGGAAGAAACGGCGAGUUCUAAUACAGCUUGCUAAUGACGGUACCUGAAGAAUAAGCACCGGCUAACUACGUGCCAGCAGCCGCGGUAAUACGUAGGGUGCAAGCGUUAAUCGGAAUUACUGGGCGUAAAGCGUGCGCAGGCGGUUUUGUAAGUCUGUCGUGAAAUCCCCGGGCUCAACCUGGGAAUGGCGAUGGAGUCUGCAAGGCUAGAGUUUGGCAGAGGGGGGUAGAAUUCCACGUGUAGCAGUGAAAUGCGUAGAUAUGUGGAGGAACACCGAUGGCGAAGGCAGCCCCCUGGGUCAAAACUGACGCUCAUGCACGAAAGCGUGGGGAGC